CGUCAAAUCCUCAUGGCCCUUACGCCUGGGGCUAGACACGUGCUACAAUGGUCGGUACAGCGAGCAGCAAGCUGGUGACAGCAAGCUAAUCUCUUAAAACCGAUCUCAGUUCGGAUAGGAGUCUGCAAUUCGACUCCUUGAAGCUGGAAUCGCUAGUAAUCGCGGAUCAGCAUGCCGCGGUGAAUACGUUCCCGGGCCUU
rnacentral:rRNA from 1 species